ACGAGGUUCAACAGUAAAGAUAAGCUGUUAUCUUCAUCUUCACCAUCAUUGGAUGGCAGCCUAACAGAAAAGGCGGGGGUGACCUAUAAAAGAAGAAGAAAAACAUUAGUUGUGCAUUCACGGCGCAGGAAAAGAACUCUUCCCUCCCCCCGCCCUACUUUUAAUCGUUGCGAUGUUCAUUAUGGGAUACUCACGUGAAUACAGUUGAUCCAUUCUCAAAUCAAGAUGAAGAUCUUCCCUUGAAAUUCAGAUCUCGCAAGGCAUCUGUUACCAGGAGUAAAUCCUUAAGCAGCAACGGAGCCUUCAACGCUCUAUUCACAGCCGCUAACUCGCUAAUACGGAAAGCACCGAAAAAUGCAAGCAAGAAGACAGCUUUGAAUAAAGAAGUUUCAUAGGAAAAGGAACAAAUGGCUGACCCCUGUCAAAGCCUUCCUGUAAAAACUGAAGAACCGCCACCAGCGUGUCAUGUUAUGCCUUAUGAUUGGAACACCACUUCAAAUAAAUUCUCCGAACCCUUGAAUAGGUUUUCAUUGUAGAUGGUCUCCUGGAGGACAUGAUUGUAUCCAUGACCGCAUUGGAGAGGUCCUGGCUUGCGAGUUCUCUCCGCUCAUUCUCCAAACCGUUAAAUGGAGUCUGGACAAAUCUGGAUGGUACAGAUGAGCUUGGGAUAAAAGAUUCUGGCACAGUGGAAGUUUCCAAUAUCUGCCUCUCGAAAGCGACAACGCAAGCAGAAACCAGGCCCUCCUGGGCCAAAACGGCAUUGAUUCUGCCUCCUCGACCAUGAUCUUCUUCAAAGUCCUCAUGAUGAGAGGAACGGGGGAAAAGCAUAUAUCAGCAUGUUCUUCCAUGAACUGGAUAGACCGUCUAGAGCCCAGGGCCGAUCCUGUUUGUAGAGGGAGCAAAAUUUGGUCGUCUUGGCAUUCUCCCUUGUGAGGGACACCACCCCUCAUGCCCCAACUGAUGUCAGAUGUCAACUACAUCGAGCUCACGAGAUACAGUAUGGUCACUGGUUACCAAGG